rnacentral:tRNA from 2 species
GGAAAGGUGCCAGAGUGGUUGAAUGGGGCAGUCUCGAAAACUGUUAUAUGAAAAAACAUAUCAAGGGUUCAAAUCCCUUUCUUUCCG